CCGCGGUAAUACGGAGGGUGCGAGCGUUAUCCGGAAUUACUGGGUUUAAAGGGUGCGUAGGCGGGUUAUUAAGUCAGUGGUGAAAUCCCAUCGCUUAACGAUGGAAUUGCCGUUGAUACUGAUAAUCUUGAAUAGGGUUGAGGUUAGCGGAAUGUGACAUGUAGCGGUGAAAUGCAUAGAUAUGUCAUGGAACACCAAUUGCGAAGGCAGCUAGCUGGGCUCGUAUUGACGCUGAGGCACGAAAGCGUGG
rnacentral:rRNA from 1 species